CGUGACACCCCUUCUCUCCAUUUUUUCUUUUUUUUUUCCCAGUUACGUUACUGCUUUCCUUGUCCGAAGGUUGUCGAUUUCUUCUCUCUUGGCUUAGGUCAGGAGCAGUCGGCAGUUUUGUAUCGGUUUGGGAUAGAAUCUCGACAUCAAAUAUUUCUGGUUGCAUCGUUGGGUUGGGACUUGAGAUUUCUGCCCUAGACUGCCUCUCCGAGUUGGUCUAUUUCGAUUUCUAUUGUGUGGCAAGGGUAAAAAUUCCUAUUGUGCCUUGUGGAUUCGAUUUGUAUUUAUAUUGGCUGAUUUUUUUUUAAACUCAUUUGAUCACUUUCGAUGCAUAAUGUUUAAAUUGGCGCUUGCUUUGUGGUCUGAUCUGUGCUUUCUCUGGAAAUAUUCGUUUGUAAAUUUCGAAGGUUUCUUCCUAAUUAAAUUUGAAUGGGUUAUUUCUAGUUGCUAGGAUUAUUUGAUUUGAUAGUUGGCAAGUAUGGUUUGGUCAGAAAAGUAUGGAAGAUUUUGUGUCAAUAUUCUGAACUGAAAGUGAAAAAUGGUUUGGUUGGGUAAUUGUCUUCGUGGGUUGGCUAUGAUAAUUUUUUCUUUUCGAUAAGUAGGUUGACUAUGCUAAAAUGAAGCUGGCGUGUAGUCUGAGUUGAGUUUAUUUUGAGUGGAGUACAAUUCGGUUUUUUCGAGUCUAUUUAGUUUAAUGCAUGUUUCGGCUAAAGAGAAGAGUUUGAACAAACUGUAGGUGAUAUUUAGCUGCAAAAAACAGCGAUCUAAUUUUUUUUGUUAAGUUCUGGAAAUUAGAAUACAGGGAUGAUAUUUAUGAGGAAGUUUAUCAAAAUUGAUAAUCCAUUGGAUUGGUUUAACUUGGGAAUGCCGAUGGUUGCUAUGUUGGUUGAACAAUGUAGUAAUUGGGGCCGUGAGGAUUAUUCUGCAUAGUGCAGGCUUUUAUCAGAAGAUAUUAAUUGGUCUUAUAGAUGUUAAGUUCAGUUUGGAGUCUGAGUAUAUUAAUUGGUCUUAUACAUGUGGCUGGGCAGCAACUAUGAUUUUUUAUUUUUGGCUAAACAUUGCUAGUAUUUGCAUGUGGUAUGUAUGGCAGCUAAUACUUGACAGUUUUUUUAUUUGAUACUAGAACUGGACAGUUUUGUAUUAGAUGGAAUAACUGGACAGAUUUGAUGGACUUUCCUUUGGUUAGAUACUAUAACUGGACAGAUUUUGUAUUUGCAAUAUUUCAGUCAAAGUGACAUGUUUUGUAUUCUAAUGUUAAGUUUGGAAAUGGCAUGUAUAGUGGGUUGGAUUUAUGUUCUCUAUUGUUUUACAUUUGCACUGAGUUUGGAAAUGGCAUGUAUAAGUUUUGUAUUUGCACUGAGUUUGAAAAUGACAUGUUUUGUAUUCUAAUGUUAAGUUUUAUUUUUGCACUGAGUUUGGAAUGGCUAUUGUUUAUAUUUGCACUGAGUUUGGAAAUGGCAUGUUUUGUAUUCUAAUGUUGAGUAUUAUAUUUGCACCGAGUUUGGAAAUGACGUGUAUGAAUUGGACUGGAACAACUAGACAGUUUUGUAUUAGCUUAGCAUGCUCAUCGUGGUUGCUGAAACUCUUGACAUUUCUGUUGUGUGAGGAGUGGGUUGGAUUUAUGCUCACAAUCCUGGGCAGCAAUUAAUGAUCCCUCUGCAUAAAUGGUGUCUAUGUCCAACAAACCAAGAAGAAAUUGCAGAACCAUUGAGUGGAGAAGACCGGGCCUCCACUUGUGAUCCUUCUCCUCCCUCUUUCAUUUUUCUUUUUGUUUUCAGUUUCUCUCACUCUCCCAUCUUGACCAAUCACUUUGAUCCAAAUCUAUGCUUCAAAGCCUAUGGGCUCCUUAUGGCAACUGUUUUUUGCAAGGAUCUUGGAUUAAGGCAGUUCUGCCUGGAGGGGGACUCAAAACAGGUAGUGGACCUACUGAACCAAGAUAGUUCCAAUUGGAGCAUGGGUGGAUGUCUCAUAACAGAUGCCAAAACUAUUCUAAAUUCGGCUGCUGCUUGAUCAGUUUCACAUGUAUAUCGUGAGGCUAAUAUGGCAGCUCACAUGUUAGCAAAGGCUGCACUCGAUUGCAUUGAAGAUGUUUAUGAUAUUGAGAUGUGUCCAACCUGUAUUCUUCCUUUGGUUACUAAGGAUAUGAGUAGAUCUGAUUCCUUUACUUUGUAUUAUCAAGUUUCAUUUUCAGAGACACAGUUGACUGCAACUCCGCUUGUUGAAUCGACGAUCGCACACUGGUUCUUUGACAAAGUAGUAGCAAUUUUAAUGUGAACUUCAGUUGUUUCUGUAUCUGGGUUUUGAUAGUUUUUAUCAGGUUUUAUAGGUUUGAAGCUUAUGGUCAGCUUCAAGAUUGCUUUUCUUUUUCAUUUGGUAUUAGAGAUGGAGGAUCAGGAGCCCCAUUUGGGAAAUUAAAGAAUCAAUUGUGAGUUAGUUUAUCGAUCUUCAUACAGUUGUGUAUCUUUCUUUUUAUCAAAGUUGAGAUUGUAUAAUCUAA